GACGAACGCUGGCGGCGUGCCUAAUACAUGCAAGUAGGACGCAGUUGCGAACGGGUGAGUAACGCGUAGGUAACUACCUGUUAGAGGGGGAUAACUCUUGGAAACGAUAGCUAAUACCGCAUACUAGUAGAUGGCCCUGCGUUGUAUUAGCUAGUAGGUAGGGUAAUGGCCUACCUAGGCAACGAUACAUAGCCGACCUUGGAGGGGGGUCGGCCACACUGGGACUGGGGCACGGCCCAGGCGCCUACGGGGGGCAGGAGGAGGGAAACUUCGGCAAUGGGGGGAAACCUGACCGAGCAACGCCGCGGGAGUGGAGAAGGGUUUCGGAUCGUAAAGCUCUGUUGUUAAGGAAGCGGUACUUAACCAGAAAGGGACGGCUAACUACGUGCCAGCCGCCGCGGUAAUUC
rnacentral:rRNA from 1 species